GACGAACGCUGGCGGCGUGCUUAACACAUGCAAGUCGAACGGAAAGGCCCUGCUUUUGUGGGGUGCUCGAGUGGCGAACGGGUGAGUAACACGUGAGUAACCUGCCCUUGACUUUGGGAUAACUUCAGGAAACUGGGGCUAAUACCGGAUAGGAGCUCCUGCUGCAUGGUGGGGGUUGGAAAGUUUCGGCGGUUGGGGAUGGACUCGCGGCUUAUCAGCUUGUUGGUGGGGUAGUGGCUUACCAAGGCUUUGACGGGUAGCCGGCCUGAGAGGGUGACCGGCCACAUUGGGACUGAGAUACGGCCCAGCCUCCUACGGGAGGCAGCGGUGGGGAAUAUUGCACAAUGGGCGGAAGCCUGAUGCAGCAACGCCGGGUGCGGGAUGACGGCCUUCGGGUUGUAAACCGCUUUCGCCUGUGACGAAGCGUGAGUGACGGUAAUGGGUAAAGAAGCACCGGCUAACUACGUG
rnacentral:rRNA from 1 species